UACAGAGGGUGCGAGCGUUAAUCGGAGUUACUGGGCGUAAAGGGCGCGUAGGCGGUCUUGUAAGUGAGAUGUGAAAUCCCUGGGCUUAACCUAGGAACUGCAUCUUAUACUGCAAGGCUGGAGUACUGUAGAGGGUAGUGGAAUUUCCGGUGUAGCGGUGAAAUGCGUAGAGAUCGGAAGGAACACCAGUGGCGAAGGCGGCUACCUGGACAGAUACUGACGCUGAGGCGCGAAAGCGUGGGGAGCAAACAGG
rnacentral:rRNA from 1 species